rnacentral:rRNA from 1 species
UACAGAGGUCUCAAGCGUUGUUCGGAUUCAUUGGGCGUAAAGGGCGCGUAGGCGGCGAGGUAAGUCGGGUGUGAAAUCUCAGAGCUCAACUCUGAAACUGCACUCGAUACUGCUUUGCUAGAGGACUGGAGAGGAGAUUGGAAUUCACGGUGUAGCAGUGAAAUGCGUAGAGAUCGUGAGGAAGACCAGUGGCGAAGGCGGAUCUCUGGACAGUUCCUGACGCUGAGGCGACGAAGGCCAGGGGAGCAAACAGG